UGAAGGUGUAGUUGGCCAUACCUU
rnacentral:siRNA from 1 species